CAGUCGCCACGGGAAAACGUAGGGUGCAAGCGUUAAUCGGAAUUACUGGGCGUAAAGCGUGCGUAGGCGGUGAGUUAAGUCUGCUGUGAAAUCCCCGGGCUCAACCUGGGAAUGGCAGUGGAUACUGGCUCGCUAGAGUGUGUCAGAGGAUGGUGGAAUUCCCGGUGUAGCGGUGAAAUGCGUAGAGAUCGGGAGGAACAUCAGUGGCGAAGGCGGCCAUCUGGGACAACACUGACGCUGAGGCACGAAAGCGUGGGGAGCAAACAGGAUUAGAGACCCCCGUAGUCCCUGUCUCUUAUAC
rnacentral:rRNA from 1 species